rnacentral:rRNA from 1 species
UUGACCUCAAAUCGGGUGAGACUACCCGCUGAACUUAAGCAUAUCAAUAAGCGGAGGAAAAGAAACUAACAAGGAUUCCCCUAGUAACUGCGAGUGAAGCGGGAAAAGCUCAAAUUUAAAAUCUGGUGGUCUUUGGCCAUCCGAGUUGUAAUUU